AAAUUUAUUUAAGGUUUAACCUGCCCAAUGAUUUAUUUAAUGGCCGCAGUAAUUUGACUGUGCGAAGGUAGCAUAAUCAUUAGUUUUUUAAUUGAAAGCUUGUAUGAAUGGUUGGACGAGAAAAUUUCUGUCUCUAUUUAAUAAUUAUAAUUUAAUUUUUAAGUUAAAAAGCUUAAAUUUAUAUAUUAGACGAGAAGACCCUAUAAAGCUUUAUAUUUUUAUAUUUAAUUUUAAUUGGUUUUUUUUAUUUUUAAUUAGAGAAAUUAUUUAAUUGGGGAAAUUAAAAGAUUUAUUUAAUUCUUUUUUAUUUAUUAUUUAUAAAUAAUUUUUUGAUCCAUUAUUAUUGAUUUUAAGAUUAAGUUACUUUAGGGAUAACAGCGUAAUUUUUUUUAAGAGUUCAUAUCGAAAGAAAAGUUUGCGACCUCGAUGUUGGAUUAAAAUUAUACUUUGGUGCAGGAUUUAAAGUGUUUAGUCUGUUCGACUAUUAAAAUUUUACGU
rnacentral:rRNA from 1 species